UCGGGAAUAUUGCGCAAUGGAGGAAACUCUGACGCAGUGACGCCGCGUGCAGGAAGAGGGUUUUCGGAUUGUAAACUGCUUUAGACAGGGAAGAAAAAAGACAGUACCUGUAGAAUAAGCUCCGGCUAACUACGUGCCAGCAGCCGCGGUAAUACGUAGGGAGCAAGCGUUAUCCGGAUUUAUUGGGUGUAAAGGGUGCGUAGACGGGAAGACAAGUUAGUUGUGAAAUCCCUCGGCUUAACUGAGGAACUGCAACUAAAACUAUCAUUCUUGAGUGCUGGAGAGGAAAGUGGAAUUCCUAGUGUAGCGGUGAAAUGCGUAGAUAUUAGGAGGAACACCAGUGGCGAAGGCGACUUUCUGGACAGUAACUGACGUUGAGGCACGAAAGUGUGGGGAGCAAACAGGAUUAGAUACC
rnacentral:rRNA from 1 species